rnacentral:rRNA from 1 species
ACAUGCAAGUCGAACGGAAAGGCCUCUUCGGAGGUACUCGAGUGGCGAACGGGUGAGUAACACGUGGGUAAUCUGCCCUGCACUUCGGGAUAAGCCUGGGAAACUGGGUCUAAUACCGGAUAUGACCACGGAACGCAUGUUUUGUGGUGGAAAGCUUUUGCGGUGUGGGAUGGGCCCGCGGCCUAUCAGCUUGUUGGUGGGGUGACGGCCUACCAAGGCGACGACGGGUAGCCGGCUUGAGAGGGUGUCCGGCCACACUGGGACUGAGAUACGGCCCAGACUCCUACGGGAGGCAGCAGUGGGGAAUAUUGCACAAUGGGCGCAAGCCUGAUGCAGCGACGCCGCGUGGGGGAUGACGGCUUUCGGGUUGUAAACUUCUUUCAGCAGGGACGAAGCGCAAGUGACGGUACCUGCAGAAGAAGCACCGGCCAACUACGUGCCAGCAGCCGCGGUAAUACGUAGGGUGCGAGCGUUGUCCGGAAUUACUGGGCGUAAAGA